GAUGAACGCUGGCGGCGUGCCUAAUACAUGCAAGUCGAGCGAACGGACGAGAAGCUUGCUUCUCUGAUGUUAGCGGCGGACGGGUGAGUAACACGUGGAUAACCUACCUAUAAGACUGGGAUAACUUCGGGAAACCGGUGCUAAUACCGGAUAAUAUUUUGAACCGCAUGGUUCAAAAGUAAAAGACGGUCUUGCUGUCACUUAUAGAUGGAUCCGCGCUGCAUUAGCUAGUUGGUAAGGUAACGGCUUACCAAGGCAACGAUGCAUAGCCGACCUGAGAGGGUGUACGGCCACACUGGAACUGAGACACGGUCCAGACUCCUACGGGAGGCAGCAGUAGGGAAUCUUCCGCAAUGGGCGAAAGCCUGACGGAGCAACGCCGCGUGAGUGAUGAAGGUCUUCGGAUCGUAAAACUCUGUUAUUAGUGAAGAACAUAUGUGUAAGUAACUGUGCACAUCGUGACGGUACCUAAUCAGAAAGCAACGGCUAACUACGUG
rnacentral:rRNA from 1 species